CAGCAGCCGCGGGAAAACAGAGGGUGCGAGCGUUAAUCGGAUUUACUGGGCGUAAAGCGUGCGCAGGCGGUUUUGUAAGACAGAGGCGAAAUCCCCGGGCUCAACCUGGGAACUGCCUUUGUGACUGCAAGGCUAGAGUACGGCAGAGGGGGAUGGAAUUCCGCGUGUAGCAGUGAAAUGCGUAGAUAUGCGGAGGAACACCGAUGGCGAAGGCAAUCCCCUGGGCCUGUACUGACGCUCAUGCACGAAAGCGUGGGGAGCAAACAGGAUUAGAUACCCCCGUAGUCCCUGUCUCUUAUAC
rnacentral:rRNA from 1 species